rnacentral:rRNA from 1 species
CGGACGGGUGAGUAACACGUGGAUAACCUACCUAUAAGACUGGGAUAACUUCGGGAAACCGGAGCUAAUACCGGAUAAUAUUUUGAACCGCAUGGUUCAAAAGUGAAAGACGGUCUUGCUGUCACUUAUAGAUUGGAUCCGCGCUGCAUUAGCUAGUUGGUAAGGUAACGGCUUACAAAGGCAACGAUGCAUAGCCGACCUGAGAGGGUGAUCGGCCACACUGGAACUGAGACACGGUCCAG